rnacentral:rRNA from 1 species
GUCGAGCGAAGCGAUUUUAAGGAAGCCUUCGGGUGGAAUUAAAAUUGACUUACCGGUGGACGGGUGAGUAACGCGUGGGUAACCUGCCUCAUACAGGGCGAUAACAGCAUUAGAAAUGACUGCUAAUACCGCAUAAGCGCACAGUGCUGCAUAGCACAGUGUGAAAAACUCCGGUGGUAUGAGAUGGACCCGCGUCUGAUUAGGUAGUUGGUGAGGUAACGGCCCACCAAGCCGACGAUCAGUAGCCGACCUGAGAGGGUGACCGGCCACAUUGGGACUGAGACACGGCCCAAACUCCUACGGGAGGCAGCAGUGGGGAAUAUUGGACAAUGGGGGAAACCCUGACAUCCAGCGACGCCGCGUGACUGAAGAAGUAUUUCGGUAUGUAAAGGUCUAUCAGCAGGGAAGAAAAUGACGGUACCUGACUAAGAAGCCCCGGCUAACUACGUGCCAGCAGCCGCGGUAAUACGUAGGGGGCAAGCGUUAUCCGGAUUUACUGGGUGUAAAGGGAGACGUAGACGGCUCUGCAAGUCUGGAGUGAAAGCCCGGGGCUCAACCCCGGGACUGCUUUGGAAACUGUGGAGCUAGAGUGCAGGAGAGGUAAGUGGAAUUCCUAGUGUAGCGGUGAAAUGCGUAGAUAUUAGGAGGAACACCAGUGGCGAAGGCGGCUUACUGGACUGUAACUGACGUUGAAGCUCGAAAGCGUGGGGAGCAAACAAGAUUAGAUACCCUGGUAGUCCACGCCGUAAACCAUGAAUACUAAGUGUUGGGGGACAAAGCUCCUCCGUGCCGUCGCUUACGCCAUAAGUAUUCCACCUGGGGGAGUACGUUUCCCAGAAUGAAA